rnacentral:rRNA from 1 species
CAGAGGGUGGAAAGAUUUAUCGGUGCAGGAUGGGCCCGCGUCGGAUUAACUAGUUGGCAGGGUAACGGCCUACCAAGGUUAUGAUCCGUAGCCGACCUGAGAGGGUGACCGGCCACAUUGGGACUGAGACACGGCCCAAACUCCUACGGGAGGCAGCAGUGGGGGAUAUUGCACAAUGGGCGGAAGCCUGAUGCAGCGACGCCGCGUGAAGGAAAAGGUAUUUCGGUAUGUAAACUUCAUCAGCGGGGAAGAAGA